UACGUAGGGGGCAAGCGUUGUCCGGAUUUAUUGGGCGUAAAGAGCGUGUAGGCGGCCAUGCAGGUCCGUUGUGAAAACUCGAGGCUCAACCUCGAGACGCCGGUGGAAACCGUAUGGCUAGAGUCCGGAAGAGGAGAGUGGAAUUCCUGGUGUAGCGGUGAAAUGCGCAGAUAUCAGGAAGAACACCCGUGGCGAAGGCGGGUCUCUGGGCAACAACUGACGCUGAGGAGCGAAAGCGUGGGGAGCAAACAGG
rnacentral:rRNA from 1 species